CUGUGGGGGGCACAGAAGGUCAUUUCCUCCUGCCCUUCCCAUGUCACUGGCUGUGAGGGCCUCCAUGGUGGGUCCAGUGCAAGGACCUAACACAAUUGUGAUCUGCAUGGUCAUCUUACUGAACAUUGGUCUGGCCAUCCUAUUUGUACAUUUUUUGACAUGAGGUCCCCCUCGGACAAGUCGGUUGUGCACCUCUGUGUAUUCUGAAGUCUCACAGCACAGGACUGGGUGGGAAAACCUGAGAGACUGGAAAGAACGUGGAAGCGAUGGUCGAGGGAAAAAACAGAUGGCCAGUCUGCUCCAAAGGUCAGUCUGAAAGGAUUUCAGAGGCGAAUGGCAGACAGGCAGGAGUUUACACUGACUGGAGACACAGGGC
rnacentral:lncRNA from 1 species